rnacentral:tRNA from 2 species
GCCGGAUUCGCUUAGUGGUAAAGCAGCUGACUCGUAAUCAGUAGCCACGAGUUCGAUUCUCGUAUUCGGCA